rnacentral:sRNA from 1 species
CAGAUCUGACUAGCUGGCUGGUGUUCUG